rnacentral:rRNA from 1 species
UACGGGGGGGGCAAGCGUUGUUCGGAAUUACUGGGCGUAAAGGGCUCGUAGGCGGCCAACUAAGUCAGACGUGAAAUCCCCAGGCUCAACCUGGGAACUGCGUCUGAUACUGGAUGGCUUGAAUCCGGGAGAGGGAUGCAGAAUUCCAGGUGUAGCGGUGAAAUGUGUAGAGAUCGGGAGGAACACCGGUGGCGAAGGCGGGUCUCUGGGCAUCUCCUGACGCUGAGGCGCGAAAGCGUGGGGAGCAAACGGG